rnacentral:lncRNA from 10 species
AUGAGGCAAAGUCUUCCUCUACUUUUUUUUGCAGUUUACUCAAAAGGAAAUGGGAUUUUGCCAUGUCACACAGGCUGAUCUUGAACCCCUGGACUCAAGUGAUCCACCUACCUUGGCCUCCCAAAGUGCUGGGAUUACAAGCAUGAGCCCCCACACCUGGUCUGGACAAUUGUUUUAGUUGUAAACUCAUGACUUAUUUACUUUUCCUCUUGAUUUAACUUCCCUUUCCUUUUCUUCUUUGGUUAUAGUAUAGAACAUUGGAUUGGCAAAAUUAACUAGAUUAUGAGUUUGAGAGGUAGCCCAACCAGGGCAUUGUUUAUUUAUUAUAGUUGCCAUUUCUUCAUCUGAUUCAUUUAUAAAGUUUGAGUUAAGGAGAGUAUCAUUUUGAUGGUUAGCAUAACUUUCUUCUGAUAGGCCUGAAUAUUGUUUAAACAUUCUUUCAAAUUUCCCGUAGUAUGACAUUAUGUGAUCAACAGGAUUUUUUCAGCGUGUUGUAUUUUGUUCCAAUCAACCACUUUUUGGAAAACUAAGGGGAUAGAGUCAACUAAAGCUUUGACAGUAUUGUGAGCACAUUUGCUAUCGGCUUCAAAAAAAUUAUGGAAGUCCUUUAAAAGAUUUCUCCAGUUUGCCUUUGCUAUCCAAUCUUUGGCUUUAUUUUCUGACACUAAAAUGUGAACCUGUUGAUAUAAAUCAGAAAUUCCUGGAUCAUAAGCUCAAAUGUUUAAUUCAAAACCUCUAGCAAAUCCAACAGAGUUCUGAAAAGGAUCUGGGAAUUCUUUAGUUAUCCCUUUAAGUUCUAUUUUUACCAUAGUUGAUAAACCAAGGCAGUUUCUUCUGUACUGGACAGAGGGUGUUCCCAAAAUGGAACCAGAACAGCAGGAGAAAGAGGAGGAAGAGGAAGGGGAGGUAAAGUCCAGACAAGGAUGUUCCAACAAAAGGGAAGGAAGAGUUGAAAAAGGGGGAGAAAUUUCAGCAGUCUUUUUCAAUUUAGAAAUUGUUUUAGACAAUCCUUUGUUUUCCACUUGCAAACAAAUGCCUUUACUAGAAACUUAUUUAGAAGCUUCUAAAAAAGUUUCUACUUUCCAUUGAAAAUAGCUCUCCCAGUUAUUUUGUUUUAUUUUAGAGCUGGGUUUUUCCAAUUGAGCAUGCAGAUAAACUAGUUUAGGUAUUUCCAAGGCACCCCAUUUUGACCAUUGUAACUCAGGGUCAUCAUCUCAAGUUAUGUGAGACCCAUAUUUUUCUAAAUACUUGCAUGAAGAGGCAACGUAAGUAUUAAACAUGAAUUCAGCUGGUGUUUCUAGUGGUCGAUUUCUUCUUAAAGAGAAAGUCUCAUGGUAUAGUUUGGAUGUUUGCCCCUCCAAAUCUCAUGUUGAAAUGUAAUCCCCAAUGUUGGAGGUGGGGCCUGGUGAGAGAUGUUUGGGUUAUCGGGGCAGAUCCCUCUUGAAUGGCUUGAUACCAUUCCCAUGGUAAAGGGUGAGUUCUUGCUCUGGCAGUUCCCAUGAAUGCUGGUUGUUUAAAAAAAUGUGGCACCUCCCCCGCCCACCUUGCCAUGUGAUGCGCCUACUCCCCCUUACCUUUCGCCAUGAUUGUAAGGUUCCUGAGGCCCUCACCAGAAGCAAAUGCUGAUACCACACUUCCUGUACAACCUGCGGAACCAUGCACCAAAAUAAAUCUCUUUCCUUU